rnacentral:ncRNA from 1 species
GAGUAGCCGUGUGCCGUGAAAAUGGCAAGCACGGUUCCGGAUGGGAGGGGUGCUACAGUAAUGUACACCUCGACCCUAC